GAUGAACGCUAGCGGAAGGCUUAAUACAUGCAAGUCGAACGGUAACAGGUUCUUCGGAACGCUGACGAGUGGCGCACGGGUGAGUAACGCGUACACAAUCUGCCCUAAUCUGGGGGAAAGUCGCUGGAAACGGCGAAUAAUCCCGCAUAAGACCACAGUAUCGCAUGAUACAGGGGUUAAAGCUUCGGCGGAAUAGGAUGAGUGUGCGUACUAUUAGUUAGUUGGAGUGGUAACGGCACCCCAAGACAGCGAUAGAUAGGGGCCCUGAGAGGGGGAUCCCCCACACUGGUACUGAGACACGGACCAGACUCCUACGGGAGGCAGCAGUGAGGAAUAUUGGACAAUGGGCGAGAGCCUGAUCCAGCCAUGCCGCGUGCAGGAAGACGGCCCUAUGGGUUGUAAACUGCUUUUUGUACGGGAAGAAACACCCCCUCGUGAGGGGGCUUGACGGUACCGUAAGAAUAAGGAUCGGCUAACUCCGUG
rnacentral:rRNA from 1 species